AUUGAACGCUGGCGGCAGGCCUAACACAUGCAAGUCGAACGAGUGGCGGACGGGUGAGUAAUGUCUGGGAAACUGCCUGCUGGAGGGGGAUAACUACUGGAAACGGUAGCUAAUACCGCAUACCAUCAGAUGUGCCCAGAUGGGAUUAGCUUGUUGGUGGGGUAACGGCUCACCAAGGCGACGAUCCCUAGCUGGUCUGAGAGGAUGACGAGCAACAAGGGAACUGAGACGCUGUGCAGAGUCUUAAGGGAGGCAGCAGUCGGGAAUAUUGCACAAUGGGCGCAAGCGUGAUGCAGCCAUGCCGCGUGUAUGAAGAAGGCCUUCGGGUUGUAAAGUACUUUCAGCGUGGAGGCGUUACCCGCAGAAGAAGCACCGGCUAACUCCGUGCCAGCCGCCGCGGUAAUAC
rnacentral:rRNA from 1 species